CGGAAGCAUGCCCGAACGCCAAAGGGAUACUUUGAUAGAGUACACCACAGGGGUUAAAGUCCCCUUACUUCC
rnacentral:tRNA from 1 species